UACGAGAGGCCCAAACGCUAUUCGGAAUUACUGGGCUUAAAGAGUUCGUAGGCGGCGCAACAAGUGGGGUGUGAAAGCCCUCGGCUCAACCGAGGAAUUGCGCUCCAAACUGUUGUGCUUGAGGGACCUAGAGGUGAGCGGAACUGAUGGUGGAGCGGUGAAAUGCGUUGAUAUCAUCAGGAACACCAGAGGCGAAGGCGGCUCACUGGGGGUCUUCUGACGCUGAGGAACGAAAGCCAGGGGAGCGAACGGG
rnacentral:rRNA from 1 species